GGAAGAUCCACUAAAAGAAGACUUGACUCUUCAUCAAAAGUAUCAUUAAGCAAUGAGAACUUGAAAAUGGAAGCUUUCCGAUGUGUAUGGUCAAAAAUCGAAUCCAAGAUUAAGGAUGUCUUGAGGAGUAUAAAUGCCGGCGUGUUUGAUGAGAUAGGACAAUGGGUUCGUGAAUCUUUUAAUGAAAUUUGUUCGUGCAGAGGGCCUGUUGAUCCAUCAAAGUCAAGUCUUCCAUACCCUUUUGUCCAUAAUGGUGGUUUAGUUAAAAAGCUCUUCACUGGUCUGGUCUUCACCAAGAAUAUUGAAAC
rnacentral:misc_RNA from 1 species